rnacentral:rRNA from 1 species
UACAGAGGUGGCAAGCGUUGUUCGGAAUUACUGGGCGUAAAGGGCGCGUAGGCGGCCUUCUAAGUCAGACGUGAAAUCCCCAGGCUUAACUUGGGAACUGCGUCUGAUACUGGAAGGCUUGAGUGCGGGAGAGGGAUGUGGAAUUCCAGGUGUAGCGGUGAAAUGCGUAGAUAUCUGGAGGAACACCGGUGGCGAAGGCGGCAUCCUGGACCGACACUGACGCUGAGGCGCGAAAGCGUGGGGAGCAAACAGG